GCCUGUGUAGUCCAGUGGUUUGAACACUGGACUAUGACUCUGGAGACCAAGGCUUCAAUCCUGGCUUGACCA